UGUAUGUACACGAAGGAUUUUUAGGUUAAAAUUUGUACCUGCCAGCAAAAACAAAUGGUAAGCUAGUGUGCGUGAGAUCGUGCUUAGAUAACUCUAUGCUUCCAGCGUGAGAGAGAGAAACCGUUAGGAGAGAAAAACAUCCAACCCGCGCUCUCGUAAACAUCUGUCGGAUAGGUGCUUGCAAUUUAACUUACACGACAAUGUAAACAAUCUUUGCUUGGUUGCGGAUAGGACUUUUCAGAUUUUUAUAGUUUUUGAUGUUUUUGAAAUGAUUUUUUGCCAAAGAAGUGCUAGAAUCUUGUUGAAGGCUGAUUAACUAGAGUUCAGAAUCUGCUGCACUGGUUUUGAGGACACAUCGGCAACGGCGAGAACAAAACUGAGUCGAUCUCGCUGCCCGGAACGAGAAGCGCAAGAACGACGACCCUCCAAGCUGGAGACUUCAAAAAAUGAGCAAUCAACCACUUGGCUGCCGUUGUCCACUGAAAAUUUUGGCUCGAGCCAAAAUUCUCGGUGGGUGGUGUCGUGAAGGCGGUUUGCUGACGAAAGUAGCAGUGGUAAGAAGGACAAGCACCGGUAGAACGGCGAGCGAGACAACAAUAAAAACCGGGAUCGGAACUAGGAUCGCGAUCGGGAGAGGGAAAACGACCGUCACCGGCACAAGUACAGUUCUUGGUCGGGUUAACAGUCGAAUUCAUCGUCCUCGAAGCACCACCAGGAGGAACGCCAACGAAAGCUUUCCCACUCGUCGUCGUCCUCGAAUCAGCAUCCACACAGCAGAGCAAGUAGCCGGCGAGAAUCGACCUCGAACGUUCGAAGGACAAGGAGGUCAGCGGCAAUGUCGUGAGCGUUCCAGCUCUGAUGGUUUCACCCGCCGCGGCCGAAUUAAAAGUCCCGGAAGCGGCCGUAGACGUGGUGGUCGGUGCAUCACGUCGUUGACAUAAACUGUUGAA